AUUGAACGCUGGCGGCAUGCCUUACACAUGCAAGUCGAACGGCAGCGGACCUUCGGGUGCCGGCGAGUGGCGAACGGGUGAGUAAUAUAUCGGAACGUACCUUUCAGUGGGGGAUAACGUAGCGAAAGUUACGCUAAUACCGCAUAUUCUGUGAGCAGGAAAGCAGGGGAUCGCAAGACCUUGCGCUGAUUGAGCGGCCGAUAUCAGAUUAGCUAGUUGGUGAGGUAAAGGCUCACCAAGGCGACGAUCUGUAGCGGGUCUGAGAGGAUGAUCCGCCACACUGGAACUGAGACACGGUCCAGACUCCUACGGGAGGCAGCAGUGGGGAAUUUUGGACAAUGGGCGCAAGCCUGAUCCAGCAAUGCCGCGUGCAGGAUGAAGGCCUUCGGGUUGUAAACUGCUUUUGUACGGAACGAAACGGCUCUUUCUAAUAAAGGGAGCUAAUGACGGUACCGUAAGAAUAAGCACCGGCUAACUACGUG
rnacentral:rRNA from 1 species